CCUACGGGGGGCUGCAGUGGGGAAUAUUGGACAAUGGGCGAAAGCCUGAUCCAGCCAUGCCGCGUGUGUGAAGAAGGCCUUCGGGUUGUAAAGCACUUUCAGUGGGGAAGAAAGCCUUGGGGCUAAUACCCUCGAGGAAGGACAUCACCCACAGAAGAAGCACCGGCUAACUCCGUGCCAGCAGCCGCGGUAAUACGGAGGGUGCGAGCGUUAAUCGGAAUUACUGGGCGUAAAGCGCGCGUAGGCGGUCUGAUAAGCCGGUUGUGAAAGCCCCGGGCUCAACCUGGGAACGGCAUCCGGAACUGUCAGGCUAGAGGGCAGGAGAGGAAGGUAGAAUUCCCGGUGUAGCGGUGAAAUGCGUAGAGAUCGGGAGGAAUACCAGUGGCGAAGGCGGCCUUCUGGACUGACACUGACGCUGAGGUGCGAAAGCGUGGGUAGCAAACAGGAUUAGAUACCCUAGUAGUC
rnacentral:rRNA from 1 species